rnacentral:pre_miRNA from 1 species
AGGCAAGAUGCUGGCAUAGCUGUUGAACUGAGAGCCUGCUAUGCCAACAUAUUGCCAUC